GGGGUUGUAGCUCAGUGGUGGAGUGCUCGCCUCACAUGUGCGGGACCCUGGGUUCAAUGCUCAGCACCACA
rnacentral:tRNA from 1 species